GUUAGGAAUAUUGGACAAUGGACGCAAGUCUGAUCCAGCCAUGCCGCGUGAGUGAUGAAGGCCUUCGGGUUGUAAAGCUCUUUAGCCGAUGAUUAUAAUGACUGUAGUCGGAAAAUAAGCCCCGGCUAACUUCGUGCCAGCAGCCGCGGUAAUACGAAGGGGGCGAGCGUUAUUCGGAAUCACUGGGCGUAAAGCGUGCGUAGGCGGUUUUGUAAGUUGGGAGUGAAAGCCCAGGGCUCAACCCUGGAAUUGCUCUCAAAACUACAAGACUUGAAUUCGGGAGAGGAUAGCGGAAUUGUCAGUGUAGCAGUGAAAUGCGUAGAUAUUGACAGGAACACCAGUGGCGUAAGCGGCUAUCUGGACCGACAUUGACGCUGAGGCACGAAAGCGUGGGGAUCAAACAGGAUUAGAUACCCGUGUAGUCC
rnacentral:rRNA from 1 species